UUAAUAGUUAAAAAAAAAAAUGGAAAUUGGUAAAAUGAAAUAACAUAUGACCUAUACCUUUAGAUCACUUGUUUUCACAAAUGGAGAUUUAUUCCACAAGCUUCCUAGGCAGACACCCACCCACACAACCAUGGGUGAUAAAUGAUAUAAAAGUUUAUUAAUUUAAAAAAUUUAGAUUUUAGGUUAUUGAUAACAGAGUCAGGAAACAAUGUGUGGAAUCUGAUAUUCUAGCCUUGGAAACCACAGAUGCCUUUCUGCUUUAACAAGGCUAUAAAGCAACUAUAAUUUCAGGAGGUCCUAACUCAGUGUACGUGGUUUACGCCCCACUAUACAAUCCAAUAAACUUCAGGCUGAGGUCUUCCAGUGCUGAGAAUUUAUUUGGCAAGCAAAUACUCAAUAAGGAGUUAGGUGGAACAGUGGAGAGAAAAAUAUUCGCGAUGGGCAAUUUGAGAUCCAAGUAGAAACGGAGUGGCUAUUGUUUAAAGGCUUAGAGACUCGGCAAAUGGUAUUACAUGGUUAAUGGUUAAAUGGUAUUGUGACAGCUUAGACAAGGUUGCAGAAGGGUUGCGUUACGUCGCAAAAUCUUCACAUCAUAUUAUUUCCGCUAUUGCUGAUAUUACUGAGUCCAGUUCCAUGAUUUGACUGAAAACGGACGAAAAAUGUUGCAUGCCUUCUUAUUCGAAAUCUGUGGAUUGCAAGGAGGUUUCACAUUGGAGAAACGCGAGCAGCAGUGUAACGAUUACAUCCGGCGCACGGUCGGACGUGAUAAGAUCGUGCUCAUGCUAGUAAGCGGUGGAGUCGAUUCCGCCGUUCGUGCUGCCCUUCUCCAUAAAGCACUUCUACAGGUGAUAACUCGUCGCGAGUGCAGGGCAUCUAUAUCCAUUCUUAUCUUUUUCUUUUUUUUUUAUUUUAUCUUUACGAAAAGAUACAAUAUGUUUGCUAAUUUACUUUAUUUACGUUAUUCAGCGACAGUUAACAAGCGUUUUAGUAAUUUACCUUGGGCUACUUGAAAUUAUUAUUACAAGUUUCAUUUAAGUUCAUGGUAAAAGUUGAAAUUCAAAGUGUAUGUCUAAUGGCACAACGGUAUAGCAUCGGAGCGGUACGUAGAAGAUUUAGGGUUCGAUUCCCUAAAGAGUUCAGUUACAUUCCAAUGUAAAAAUAAAUUCCAUUGGGAAAAUUCUGAUUUAUGAGUUACAAAAUCUCUAAGUAAAAUUAGAGUGCCUUAACCAAAGACUUGUAAAGCUCUAUUCUUCAACGUGGCUAUUGGUCGCAUAUACCGGAACAUUACAACUCAGAUGGAAAACGAACCCAUACUAUGAUGAUUAAUCCCAACACUGAAUUCCACUACAGCUGAAUGGGAUUCGAACCCAAGUUACAUCGUAUUCCAGUCCAUCGCUCUACCAUUGAGCUAUGAGAGAUACUACAUUGUAAUCUAAGUCUUCAACACAUUAAGGUAACUGUGCAAAAUUGUACAUAGGGGAUCAAAUAUCAAUGGGGGGA